rnacentral:SRP_RNA from 1 species
UCAUGCUAGGUGGGGAAUUAGCGGAGCCUUGUAACUCGCAAUCCGCUUUAGCGAGACUGAAUUCCCUUCUGAGGUUGUCCGUAUGUUUGGUCUGCCUAUUGCACGUAGUGUUGACGGUUGGGUCCUGCGCAAUGAGUUCCCAUGAACCAUGUCAGGUCCGAGAGGAAGCAGCAUUAAGUGGAUCAACUUAUGUGCCGUGGGAUAGCCUAACCUGAGCUGGCGACAAUAGUAACGCUUAUGUACGGCUGUCGAAGAAGGGUGCAUGA